GCGAUGGUUCAUUCAAAUUUCUGCCCUAUCAAGUUUCGAUGGUAGGAUAGAGGCUACCAUGCUUUUUACGGGUAACGGCGAAUUAGGGUUCGAUUCCGGAGAGGGAGCCUGAGAAACGGCUACCACAUCUAAGGAAGGCAGCAGGCGCGCAAAUUACCCAAUCCUGAUUCAGGGAGGUAGUGACAAUAAAUAACAAUCCAGGACUUCGGUCUUGGAAUUGGAAUGAGAGCAAUUUAAAUCUCUUAUCGAGGAACAAUUGGAGGGCAAGUCUGGUGCCAGCAGCCGCGGUAAUUCCAGCUCCAAUAGCGUAUAUUAAAGUUGUUGCAGUUAAAUAGCUCGUAGUUGAAUCUUCAGGGGCUGGUUUGGCGGUCGCGUCUUUGACGUGUACUGUCGGCCGGUUCUUUUACUUGUGGGGAACGUAUGUGCCCUUUGCGGGGUGUGUACGGGAACCAUGGCUGUUACUUUGAAAAAAUUAGAGUGUUUAAAGCGGGCGUAAGCUUGUAUACAUUAGCAUGGAAUAAUAGA
rnacentral:rRNA from 1 species